GCGGGAGUAGCUCAUUUGGUAGAGCAUUGGCCUUCCAAGCCGAGUGUGGCGGGUUCGAACCCCGUCUCCCGCU
rnacentral:tRNA from 1 species